GUGUCAGCAGCCGCGGUAAUACGUAGGGGGCAAGCGUUGUCCGGAAUUAUUGGGCGUAAAGCGCGCGCAGGCGGCGGUUUAAGUCUGGUGUAUAAGCCCAGAGCUCAACUCUGGUACGCAGGGGAAACUGGGCGACUUGAGUGCAGGAGAGGAAAGUGGAAUUCCACGUGUAGCGGUGAAAUGCGUAGAGAUGUGGAGGAACACCAGUGGCGAAGGCGACUUUCUGGCCUGUAACUGACGCUGAGGCGCGAAAGCGUGGGGAGCAAACAGGAUUAGAUACCCUCGUAGUCC
rnacentral:rRNA from 1 species